rnacentral:rRNA from 1 species
ACCGCAUAAUGUCGCAAGACCAAAGUGGGGGACCUUCGGGCCUCAUGCCAUCAGAUGUGCCCAGAUGGGAUUAGCUAGUAGGUGGGGUAAUGGCUCACCUAGGCGACGAUCCCUAGCUGGUCUGAGAGGAUGACCAGCCAUACUGGAACUGAGACACGGUCCAGACUCCUACGGGAGGCAGCAGUGGGGAAUAUUGCACAAUGGGCGCAAGCCUGAUGCAGCCAUGCCGCG